rnacentral:rRNA from 1 species
UACGUAGGGGGCAAGCGUUAUCCGGAUUUACUGGGUGUAAAGGGAGCGUAGACGGCAGAGCAAGUCUGAAGUGAAAGCCCGCGGCCCAACUGCGGGACUGCUUUGGAAACUGCCCGGCUAGAGUGCUGGAGAGGUAAGCGGAAUUCCUAGUGUAGCGGUGAAAUGCGUAGAUAUUAGGAGGAACACCAGUGGCGAAGGCGGCUUACUGGACAGUAACUGACGUUGAGGCUCGAAAGCGUGGGGAGCAAACA